rnacentral:rRNA from 1 species
UGAGCUUGAAUCCUGGCUCAGGACGAACGCUGGCGGCGUGCCUAAUACAUGCAAGUCGAGCGGACAAUAGGGAGCUUGCUCCCUAUUGUUAGCGGCGGACGGGUGAGUAACACGUGGGCAACCUGCCCUGUAGACUGGGAUAACAUCGAGAAAUCGGUGCUAAUACCGGAUAAUAAAUGGAAUUGCAUAAUUCCAUUAUAAAAGAUGGCUCCGGCUAUCACUACAGGAUGGGCCCGCGGCGCAUUAGCUAGUUGGUAAGGUAACGGCUUACCAAGGCAACGAUGCGUAGCCGACCUGAGAGGGUGAUCGGCCACACUGGGACUGAGACACGGCCCAGACUCCUACGGGAGGCAGCAGUAGGGAAUCUUCCGCAAUGGACGAAAGUCUGACGGAGCAACGCCGCGUGAGCGAUGAAGGCCUUCGGGUUGUAAAGCUCUGUUGUUAGGGAAGAACAAGUGCCAUUCAAAUAGGGUGGCACCUUGACGGUACCUAACCAGAAGAGCCACGGCUAACUACGUGCCAGCAGCC